rnacentral:rRNA from 1 species
CGGGGGAGCAAGCGUUGUUCGGAUUUACUGGGCGUAAAGGGCGCGUAGGCGGCCAGCGCAAGUCAGUUGUGAAAUCUCCGGGCUUAACUCGGAACGGUCAACUGAUACUGCGCGGCUAGAGUGCAGAAGGGGCAACUGGAAUUCUCGGUGUAGCGGUGAAAUGCGUAGAUAUCGAGAGGAACACCUGCGGCGAAGGCGGGUUGCUGGGCUGACACUGACGCUGAUGCGCGAAAGCCAGGGGAGCGAACGGGAUUAGAUACCCCGGUAGUCCUGGCCUUAAACGAUGGAUGCUUGGUGUCUGGAGUUUUAUAGUCUCCGGGUGCCGCAGCUAACGCGUUAAGCAUCCCGCCUGGGGAGUACGGUCGCAAGACUG